CACGUAGGAGGCGAGCGUUGUCCGGAAUCAUUGGGCGUAAAGAGCGCGCAGGCGGCUUGGCAAGUCGGGUGUGAAAUCCCGGGGCUCAACCCCGUGACUGCAUCCGAUACUGUCAGGCUAGAGGUAGGUAGGGGAGACUGGAAUUCCUGGUGUAGCGGUGAAAUGCGCAGAUAUCAGGAGGAACACCGGUGGCGAAGGCGGGUCUCUGGGCCGAUACUGACGCUGAGGAGCGAAAGCGUGGGGAGCGAACAGG
rnacentral:rRNA from 1 species